GUCUACGGCCAUACCACCCUGAACGCGCCCGACCUCGUCUGAUCUCAGAAGCUAAGCAGGGUCGGGCCUGGGUAGUACUUGGGUCGGAGAACACAUUCUAUCAGUAUCAAAAGCUUGAACAUGGUUAUCUAGAAU
rnacentral:rRNA from 1 species